AGCAGCCGCGGUAAUUCCAGCUCCAAUAGCGUAUAUUAAAGUUGUUGCAGUUAAAAAGCUCGUAGUUGAAUUUCGGGAUCAAUGUUUCGGUCAUGCCCUUGGUAUGUACUGAUAUUAUUGGUUUCUCACCUUCUAAAGAACCGUAAUGCCAUUAAUUUGGUGUCACGGGGAAUUAGGACUGUUACCUUGAAAAAAUUAGAGUGUUUAAAGCAGGCUCACGCUUGAAUACAUUAGCAUGGAAUAAUGAAAUAGGACAUCCGAUUCUAUUUUGUUGGUCUCUAGGAUCGAUGUAAUGAUUAAUAGGGAUAGUUGGGGGCAUUGGUAUUCAAUUGUCAGAGGUGAAAUUCUUGGAUUUAUUGAAGACUAACUACUGCGAAAGCAUUUGCCAAGGAUGUUUUCAUUAAUCAAGAACGAAAGUUAGGGGAUCGAAGACGAUCAGAUACCGUCGUAGUCUUAACCAUAAACUAUGCCGACUAGGGAUCGGAUGAUGUUAAUUUUUUAAUGACUCA
rnacentral:rRNA from 1 species